AUUCAGCUGACGAGUCCCGAAUAGGAUGAAACGCUCGUCCUGGAU
rnacentral:hammerhead_ribozyme from 1 species